GUAAUGGAAGAAGCUGAAACUUUUGUAGCAGGAUCUCAAGAGACGGAAAAGCUUAUCAAUGGAAUUCUUGAAAAAUUGAGCGACUGACUCACCAGGAUAUGUGUUGACAACCUCCUACUCAAGAAUGGACUGAUAAAGUUUCGCAUGAAAAUGAAUGAUGGUGUCGCCACAUCUUUACGGGAAUGGGAUAAGCUCAUAGGAUGAUUUGCCUCACUGUUUAACUCAGAGGAUGAGUCGAAGAUGUUAAAGGAUGUUGUGAGCACAUUUGCCUUUGGAAGUGACCUCACCUUAUGCUUACAUCC